rnacentral:rRNA from 1 species
CCUACGUGUGGUAGCAGUGAGGAAUAUUGGUCAAUGGACGAGAGUCUGAACCAGCCAAGUAGCGUGAAGGAUGACUGCCCUAUGGGUUGUAAACUUCUUUUAUAUGGGAAUAACAUGUUCCACGUGUGGGAUUUUGUAUGUACCCUAUGAAUAAGGAUCGGCUAACUCCGUGCCAGCAGCCGCGGUAAUACGGAGGAUUCGAGCGUUAUCCGGAUUUAUUGGGUUUAAAGGGAGCGUAGGUGGAUUGUUAAGUCAGUUGUGAAAUUUUGCGGCUCAACCGUAAAAUUGCAGUUGAAACUGGCAGUCUUGAGUACAGUAGAGGUGGGCGGAAUUCGUGGUGUAGCGGUGAAAUGCUUAGAUAUCACGAAGAACUCCGAUUGCGAAGGCAGUUCACUGGACUGCAACUGACACUGAGGCUCGAAAGUGUGGGUAUCAAACAGGAUUAGAUACCCCGGUAGUC